AACGAACGUUGGCGGCGUGGAUUAGGCAUGCAAGUCGAGCGAAUCCCAGUAAUGGGGGAAGCGGCGAAAGGGGCAGUAAGGCAUGGGUAACCUACCCUGGGGACUGGGAUAGCCCUUCGAGAGAAGGGGUAAUACCGGGCGACGUGCCGAGGAGGCAUCUCCUUGUCACCAAAUGAGUUUCGCCCUGGGAGGGGCCCAUGUGAUAUUAGCUAGUUGGUGGGGUAACGGCCCACCAAGGCGAAGAUGUCUAGCGGGUGUGAGAGCACGACCCGCGCCACUGGCACUGAGACACUGGCCAGACACCUACGGGUGGCUGCAGUCGAGGAUCUUCGGCAAUGGGCGCAAGCCUGACCGAGCGACGCCGCGUGUGCGAUGAAGGCCUUCGGGUUGUAAAGCACUGUCGAGAGGGAGAAAAGCGCAAGCUUGAUCUAUCUCUGGAGGAAGCACGGGCUAAGUUCGUGCCAGCCACCGCCGUAAGAC
rnacentral:rRNA from 1 species